rnacentral:rRNA from 1 species
UACGUAGGGUGCGAGCGUUAAUCGGAAUUACUGGGCGUAAAGCGUGCGCAGGCGGUUAUUUAAGGCAGGGGUGAAAUCCCCGGGCUUAACCUUGGAAUUGCCUUUGUGACUGUAUAGCUGGAGUGCGGCAGAGGGGGAUGGAAUUCCGCGUGUAGCAGUGAAAUGCGUAGAUAUGCGGAGGAACACCGAUGGCGAAGGCGAUCCCCUGGGCCUGCACUGACGCUCAUGCACGAAAGCGUGGGGAGCAAACAGG